rnacentral:lncRNA from 1 species
AAAAAUUACAGAACUGGAGACUGGAAAUUUUUGAGAUAAAAGUCAGAUUUCAGAGUUUAAAACCUGAAAGCUUUUAGUCAAUUUUGAGAUUCUUUUCAGAGAGUUAUAGUGAUCAAGGCUGAGCUUUAUAUCAAGAGUUUCAAUUUGUUCUCUUUCUGAGUGUUCAAAAUCAGACAACUACUGUUGUCUUGUGCCUGUUCCUUUUCUACUUUGACUGUGGUUUCAUUUUCGGCAUUUCCUGGGAUUUCAGUUUGGUCUUGAAUCCUGAUUCAUUAAGGGUUCUUGGUUUUCUGCUUCGUAUUUUGAAUUUGGUCCUUGUUUUCUGCUACUGUAUCUGUUACUGGGUUCAUUGGUGUUGGUGGUUGUUGCUGAACCUGUUGUUGUGCUUGUGUUACUGCUGCACUACUGACCAUCCUCUCCUUCUUUGGCAUUUCCAAAUACCAGGUACACAAUCGAAUAUACUGAAUUAUGUAAGCAGAAACAUAUUGAAG